rnacentral:tRNA from 1 species
AAGAAUUAGAAAUACAGAAACUGCUA